rnacentral:rRNA from 1 species
GUUCCAAGAAAAGCCUCUAAGCUUCAGUCUAACGAGACCGUACCGCAAACCGACACAGGUGGGCGAGAUGAGUAUUCUAAGGCGCUUGAGAGAACUCGGGAGAAGGAACUCGGCAAAUUUGUACCGUAACUUCGGGAUAAGGUACGCCCCGGUAGUUUGACUGGCCUGCGCCAGGAGGACGAAAGGGCUGCAAUAAAAAGGUGGCUGCGACUGUUUAAUAAAAACACAGCACUAUGCAAACACGAAAGUGGACGUAUAUGGUGUGACUCCUGCCCGGUGCUGGAAGAUUAAAUGAUGGGGUGCAAGCUCUUGAUUGAAGUCCCAGUAAACGGCGGCCGUAACUAUAACGGUCCUAAGGUAGCGAAAUUCCUUGUCGGGUAAGUUCCGACCUGCACGAAUGGAGUAACGAUGGCCACACUGUCUCCUCCCGAGACUCAGCGAAGUUGAAAUGUUUGUGAUGAUGCAAUCUACCCGCGGCUAGACGGAAAGACCCCAUGAACCUUUACUGUAGCUUUGCAUUGAAUUUUGAACCAAUCUGUGUAGGAUAGGUGGGAGGUUUUGAAGCGUGAACGCUAGUUUGCGUGGAGCCAACCUUGAAAUACCACCCUGGUUUGUUUGAGAUUCUAACCUUGGACCGUUAUCCGGUUCGGGGACAGUGCAUGGUGGGCAGUUUGACUGGGGCGGUCUCCUCCUAAAGUGUAACGGAGGAGUUCGAAGGUACGCUAGGUACGGUCGGACAUCGUGCUAAUAGUGCAAUGGCAUAAGCGUGCUUAACUGCGAGACUGACAAGUCGAGCAGGUACGAAAGUAGGACAUAGUGAUCCGGUGGUUCUGUAUGGAAGGGCCAUCGCUCAACGGAUAAAAGGUACUCUGGGGAUAACAGGCUGAUUCCUCCCAAGAGUUCAUAUCGACGGGGGAGUUUGGCACCUCGAUGUCGGCUCAUCACAUCCUGGUGCUGUAGCCGGUCCCAAGGGUAUGGCUGUUCGCCAUUUAAAGUGGUACGUGAGCUGGGUUUAAAACGUCGUGAGACAGUUUGGUCCCUAUCUGCCGUGGGCGUUGGAAAUUUGAAGGGGGCUGCUCCUAGUACGAGAGGACCGGAGUGGACGAACCUCUGGUGUACCGGUUGUCACGCCAGUGGCAUUGCCGGGUAGCUAAGUUCGGAAGAGAUAACCGCUGAAAGCAUCUAAGCGGGAAACUUGCCUUGAGAUGAGAUUUCCCGGGAACUAGAUUCCCCUAAAGGGUCGUUCGAGACCAGGACGUUGAUAGGUCAGGUGUGGAAGCGA